AAGACUAUACUUUCAGGGAUCAUUUCUAUAGUUCGUUACUAGAGAAGUCUUUCUGAAUGUGUAGAGCACCGGAAACCACGAGGAGGAGGCGCAGCAUUCUCUCCUGAGCAUGAAGCUGGCUCUUGGUGUUGCUUUAGUGCAAUUGCCAUUUGCCGUUGAUGAUCAUUCUUCUUCCCCUUUGGGGGAGUAAGAGGGAGAGGACGCAGUCUGAGUAGU
rfam:Otolemur garnettii contig121391, whole genome shotgun sequence.